GGGUAGAGUAAUGCGUGACCAACCUGCCCCAUGCUCCAGAAUAGCUCUUGGAAACGGGUGGUAAUGCUGGAUGCUCCAACUUGACGCAUGUCUUGUUGGGAAAGUGUUUAGUGGCAUGGGAUGGGGUCGCGUCCUAUCAGCUUGUAGGCGGGGUAAUGGCCCACCUAGGCUUCGACGGGUAGCCGGCCUGAGAGGGCGGACGGCCACAUUGGGACUGAGAUACGGCCCAGACUCCUACGGGAGGCAGCAGAU
rnacentral:rRNA from 1 species